UACGGAGGGUGCGAGCGUUGUCCGGAAUCACUGGGCGUAAAGGGCGCGUAGGCGGCCCUGGCAGUCGGUGGUGAAAUCCCGGGGCUCAACCCCGGAACUGCCUUUGAUACUGGGUAUCUCGAGUCCGGAAGAGGUGAGUGGAAUUCCGAGUGUAGAGGUGAAAUUCGUAGAUAUUCGGAGGAACACCAGUGGCGAAGGCGGCUCACUGGUCCGGUACUGACGCUGAGGUGCGAAAGCGUGGGGAGCAAACAGG
rnacentral:rRNA from 1 species